rnacentral:rRNA from 1 species
AUUGAACGCUGGCGGCAGGCCUAACACAUGCAAGUCGAGCGGAUGAAGGGUGCUUUCUCCUGGAUUCAGCGGCGGACGGGUGUGUAAUGCCUAUGAAUCUGCCUUGUUUUUGGGUAUAACGUCCUGAAACGGGCGCUAAUACCGCAUCCUUCCUGAUGUUGCAACUCGGUGUUCUUCGGACCUCCCGCUUUCUGCUGUUCCUAGGUCGGAUUUGCUAGUUGGUGUGGUAAAGGCCUACCAAGGCGACGAUCCGUAACUGGUCUGAGAGGCUGAUCAGUCACACUGGAACUGAGACACGGACCAGAGUCCUACGGGAGGCAGCAGUGGGGAAUAUUGGACAAUGGGCGAAAGCAUGAUACAGCAAUGCCGCGUGUGAGAAGAAGGUCUUCGGAUUGUAAAGAACUUUAAGUUGGGAGGAAGGGCAGUAAGUUAAUACCUUGCUGUAGUGACGGUACCAACAGAAUAAGCACCGGCUAACUACGUG